GCAUCUUUAGCUUAAUGGAUAAAGCAACAACCUUCUAAGUUGUUGAUUAUAGGUUCAAGUCCUAUAAGAUGUU
rnacentral:tRNA from 1 species